UACGGGAUAAUAUAUUUGAGAGGCAUCUCUUGAAUAUCAAAGGUGAGCCAGUACAGGAUGGACCCGCGUCUGAUUAGCUAGUUGGUAAGGUAACGGCUUACCAAGGCGACGAUCAGUAGCCGACCUGAGAGGGUGAUCGGCCACCUUGGCACUGAGACACGGUCCAAACUCCUACGGGAGGCAGCAGUGGGGAAUAUUGCACAAUGGGCGAAAGCCUGAUGCAGCAACGCCGCGUGAGUGAUGAAGGCCUUCGGGUCGUCAAGCGCUGCCC
rnacentral:rRNA from 1 species